rnacentral:rRNA from 1 species
AUUGAACGCUGGCGGCAGGCCUAACACAUGCAAGUCGAGCGGAUGCACGGUGCUUGCUCCCGGAUUCAGCGGCCGACUGGCGGGUAAUUCCUAGGUAUCUCCCAAUCUGUUGGGGAUUACGUCAGGAAACGGGCGAUAUUACCCCAUACCUCCUGACGGAGAACGGGGGGGAUCUUCGGACCUCACGCCCUUAGCUGAUCCUAGGUCGGAUUAGCUAGUUGGUGGGGUAACGGCCUACCAAGGCGACGAUCCGUAACGGGUCGGCGGGGCUGAGCAGUCACACGGGAACUGAGACACGGUCCAGACUCCUACGGGAGGCAGCAGUGGGGAAUAUUGGACAAUGGGCGAAAGCCUGAUCCAGCCAUGCCGCGUGGGUGAAGAAGGUCUUCGGAUUGUAAAGCACUUUAAGUGGGGAGGAAGGGCAGUAAGUUAAUACCUUGCUGUAUUGACGUUACCAACAGAAUAAGCACCGGCUAACUUCGUG